rfam:Camelus ferus unplaced genomic scaffold scaffold1161, whole genome shotgun sequence.
GAGCGUGUAGCUCAAUGGUAGAGUGUGUGCCUAGCAAGCUAGAGGUCCUGGGUUCAAUCCCCAGUACCUCCG